UGUUCUCAGGCAGCGGGCAGCCGGCCUUCCAGGUAGGCGGGCCCAGCAGGAGCCUGCGACCCGGCUUCCCUGGCCCUAGGCCACCGGGCGCUCAGCCCCACCGCUUCUCCCUGCAGCCCGAUUCGCCGCUGGCAUCUGUGUCACCUGCACUGUCACCAGUCCGGAGCCCCACACCGCCAGCUGCAGGGUUUCAGCCUCUGCUCAAUGGAAACUUGGUUCCGGAGCCGCCCACUACUCCUGCGCCGGGAGUGCAGCUGGAUGUGGAGGCGCUCAUCCCCACACACGAUGAGCAGGGCCGGCCCAUCCCCGAGUGGAAGCGCCAGGUGAUGGUGCGCAAGCUGCAGCUGAAGAUGCAGGAGGAGGAGGAGCAGAGGCGGAAGGAGGAGGAGGAGGAGGCCCGGCUGGCCAGCAUGCCCGCCUGGAGGCGGGACCUCCUGCGGAAGAAGCUGGAAGAAGAGAGGGAGCAGAAGCGGAAAGAGGAGGAGCGACAGAAGCAGGAGGAGCUGCGGCGGGAGAAGGAGCAGUCAGAGAAGCUGCGGACGCUGGGCUACGAUGAGAGCAAGCUGGCGCCCUGGCAGCGACAGGUCAUCCUGAAGAAGGGGGACAUCGCUAAGUACUAGAGGCCGCAGACUCCCGCCCGCAGCCUCGCAGCUCCGUGGGGCCCCCCGCCCCAGCCCCAGCCAGCCAGGCCCCGGUGGAAGGGCUGAGAGCCGCACAGCCCUCCCCUCCUGCGCUGGAAACCCUCCCUGACCCCCCACCCCGGCCCCCGCGUCCCCAGCCCUUGGCAACAUUGGAGUGCACACGCCGCCCCGGUUGCCCAGAAAAAGUGCCCAAGCUGCUGAUGCAAACAACAACAAAUGCUGCUUAUUUGCAUGCCGACUUACA
rnacentral:sRNA from 1 species